AAGGUUAUGCAUUUAGUUCUACUUUAAGGAAGGCGCUGCACUGGCAUCAUGCUCUCAUGUAGCCCCGCCUCUCAGGUAAGGUUACGGUUGAGACCAUAUCUUCAGCCUGACCUGCACCCCUGGUGGAAAUAAACAGAUACGAUGGACAAACUCAGCUCUGUUGUAUGGAACUAACUUUGGAGGGAUAUUUC